CGUGAAUGGCUCCUUAUAUCAGUUAUAGUUUAUUUGAUGCAAUCUACUACUUGGAUAACCGUAGUAAUUCUAGAGCUAAUACAUGGUAAAGUCCUCAACUUGUGAAGAGGUGUAUUUAUUAGAAUGAAAACCAGUAGACUUAGUCUAUUCGUGAGUAAUAAUAACUUAUCAUAUCGCAUGCUUAGGUAGCGAUAUGUCUUUCAAGUUUCUGCCCUAUCAGCUUUCGAUGGUAGUGUAUUGGACUACCAUGGCAGUAACGGGUAACGAAGAAUUUGGAUUCGAUUUCGGAGAGGGAGCCUGAGAGAUGGCUACCACAUCCAAGGCGGGCAGCAGGCGCGUAAAUUACCCAAUCCUGACACAGGGAGGUAGUGACAAUAAAUCACAAUGCGGAACUAUUAGUUUUGCAAUUGGAUUGAGAACAACGUACAAACCUUAUCGAUAAACAAUUGGAGGGCAAGUCUGGUGCCAGCAGCCGCGGUAAUUCCAGCUCCAAUAGCGUAUAUUAACGUUGUUGCAGUUAAAAAGCUCGUAGUUGAAGUGAAGUGAACAAAGAAGAGAAGAAUCUUCGGAUUCGGAUCUAAUGCGUUGACUCUUUCCAAAGUCAAUGUAUGGGUAUUCAUUUAUCUAUAUAUUGUGUUUGGUCGUUUACUGUGAGAAAAUUAGAGUGUUCAAAGCAGACGUUUGUUUGAAUACAUUAGCAUGGAAUAAUCAUAUAAGGCUUUUCAUGUGUAUUAG
rnacentral:rRNA from 1 species